GGAUUGGGAGCUUGCUUCCAUGAGAGUGGCGCACGGGUGCGUAACACGUAUGUAACCUACCCUUAUCAGGGGGAUAGCCUCUCGAAAGAGAGAUUAAGCCCGCAUAAAAUCACAGCACAGCAUUGUGUAAUGAUCAAAUAUUUAUAGGAUAAGGAUGGGCAUGCGGAACAUUAGCUAGUUGGUAAGGUAACGGCUUACCAAGGCUACGAUGUUUAGGGGAUCUGAGAGGAUGGCCCCCCACACUGGUACUGAGACACGGACCAGACUCCUAC
rnacentral:rRNA from 1 species